rnacentral:rRNA from 1 species
CGCGUAGGCGGUCUUUUAAGUCAGAUGUGAAAGCCCGGGGCUUAACCCCGGAAGUGCAUUUGAAACUAAGGGACUUGAGUAUGGGAGAGGGAAGUGGAAUUCCUGGUGUAGCGGUGAAAUGCGUAGAUAUCAGGAGGAACACCGGUGGCGAAGGCGACUUCCUGGACCAAUACUGACGCUAAGGCGCGAAGGCGUGGGGAGCAAACA